AUACGGCAACAUAUUUGGCCAUUGUGUGGAGCCCUGUGUAGCACUGUAGUCGCUGUAAAUCCUGAAAUAAAAGGAAAACAUGAACACAUGUGCUGGGAAUUUUACUGGAAGCUCAGAGGCUGGAAUAUAAUCACCGAGAUUUUAGAGGAUUUAUUAAUUAGAAUCUACGAGGACAAGAUCAGAAAAAAACCAAACCAAACAAAAUAAAAAAAAGUUAUGUUAUAGGUAAA